rnacentral:rRNA from 1 species
CCUACGGGAGGCAGCAGUGAGGAAUAUUGGUCAAUGGACGCAAGUCUGAACCAGCCAUGCCGCGUGCCGGAAGACGGCUCUAUGAGUUGUAAACUGCUUUUGUACGAGGGUAAACGCCGGUACGCGUAUCUGUCUGAACGUAUCGUACGAAUAAGGAUCGGCUAACUCCGUGCCAGCAGCCGCGGUAAUACGGAGGAUUCAAGCGUUAUCCGGAUUUAUUGGGUUUAAAGGGUGCGUAGGCGGUCGGGUAAGUUAGCGGUGAAAUCCCGGGGCUCAACUUCGGGAUUGCCUUUGAUACUGUUAGGCUAGAGAGGAGUAGAGGUAGGCGGAAUGUAUGGUGUAGCGGUGAAAUGCGUAGAGAUCGUACAGAACACCGAUUGCGAAGGCAGCUUACCAAGCUAAGACUGACGUUGAGGCACGAAAGCGUGGGGAGCAAACAGGAUUAGAUACCCUUGUAGUC